rnacentral:rRNA from 1 species
AUGGUGCUCUUUACGCUAUGGCAGGCCUGGUAUAUCCGCAACGAGGUUGUCCAUCAAAAUCCGCCACCACCCAUGGAAGCAUCUAAGCAUUUCCUUAUGAGCUACCUGGAUUCGAUCUUUGGCGUGAAGGUGGACUUAGCUUCCGAUCCGGUUAAAGGGAAGCAGAUUCUCACAUAUGACAAGUUCUCUCCUAAUGUACAGUCAAGAACAAUCCCAAGUAUUUUCUGUUUAUUUUUCCAGUCCACCAACUAUGUGAUUCUAAUGUUAAGUAUCCAUGGAGAGGAUAUGUUUUACUUGGAUUUUGGUAUUAACAUGGUACAGCUAAAUUUAGAGGUUCUAUGGUUUCUUAGACGUGUGUUACAUAACUAUGGGGGAGUAAUUUUAUUGUUAUUUCCUUUUCACAAUACUGUUAUGAAUCCAAAAGUUCGCAAAACCUAG